rnacentral:SRP_RNA from 14 species
UUGCCCUGGAAGCCCGCAAGGCGCUGCAAGCUGGAUCUAGCAGCUCCGGGAAUGCGUUGCUGGAGCAGAUGAACCGCAUAGAGCAGAACCAGGGCGCAAUGCAGGCAUGCUUGGGUCAGGUCCGGAAGCAAACAGCGGGAAUCGGAGUU